rnacentral:rRNA from 1 species
ACCCUGGACGGGGGAUCACUCGGCUCGUCCGUCGAUGAAGAGCGCGGCUAUCCGCGUGAACUGAUGCGAAUUGCAGGACUCAGUGAACAUCGACACCUCGAACGCACAUUGCGGCCCCGGGAUCCCAUCGUCCCGGGGCCCCGUCCGGUCGAGAGGCGGUUACGAUACAAUUACGCUGUCCGCGCGCCGCCGUCGUCGUUUGCCGUCGGCGGCGGCGCCGGGAAGUCGGGAGUCGCAGAAGAAACAAUAAGGAAUGGCAAAAAAAACGAAGGCGACUUCACGUCUGUUUCCUUUUUUUUUUUUUUCCCUUCCUUCCCUCUUUCUUCUUCUUCUUCGUCUCCCGUUUUGCCAGACCGUUUGCGGAGCGCGGCGCGACAACGGCUCGUACGUCCGUUCAUCCAUCCAUCGCUGCACUAUCGGCUAAGACGGUGACGCACGAAAAAAGAGCAGUAAGCAAGCGGCAGUAGUAAAAGCGCUAGCUAGCAGGUGUCGUCGUAGUUAGUAGUUAGCGUGCCGCCGCGGCGUGUAGCUCGCGGUCGUCGUCGGUCGGCGUUCGCUCUGUGAGUGGCCAACACGGCAGCAACAUCAAAGCGUUCGUGUCGACCGACGCGCGUCGCCGGUGCGCUAUCUCGCGUCGUCUUCGUCUGUUGGUUUUCGUGCUGCUCGCUUCUUGCUGCCUGCCGUUUUCAGCUUGCGGUGAUGGGUUUCUGGUGUGGACCGCGUUCGUUCGCGGCUUGUUUUGUCGUCGCCCCGUUGCUGCCAACCGUUGCAGGAGUAGAGAAGAAGAGAAGAAGAAGAAGAAGGGAGGAAUUAUUUAGAAGGCGCCGCGCUCGCGCGAUUUCUUUUUUUUUUCUUUUUUCUUCUUCUUCUUCUACUUUGUUUUCGUUCCUGCUUGCCGCUGCCCUCGACUCGGACGCGACUACCCGCCGAACUUAAGCAUAUCGCUAAGCGGAGGAAAAGAAACCAACCGGGAUUCCCUUAGUAACGGCGAGUGAACCGGGAGGAGCCCAACGCUGAAUCUCGUCGUCGUUGCAUGUCGUCGAGAGCUGUGGCGCAAGGGUCGUACACGGUCGUUCGUUUCGCCCGGCUAGGUUCGGAGUCCCCUCGAUCGGGGCUGCCCAAAGCGGGUGCCAGGCCCAUUCGGAGCCGGCGGCGAUAGACGGUGUUCUUCGGCCCGAGAGUCGGGUUGCUUGGGAACGCAGCCCAAAGCGGGUGGUAAGCUCCAUCCAAGGCUAAAUACCGGGACGAGUCCGAUAGCCGACAAGUACCGCGAGGGAAAGUUGAAAAGAACUUUGGAGAGAGAGUUCAAGAGACCGUGAAACCGCCCAGGGGUAAACGGGUAGGACCGUUCACCGCGAUCGCGAGGGGACUCAGUCCGCUGCUGAUUUCAUUUUCAGGCGCCGUCGUCGUCGACGAUCGCGCCGGUGUCGGUGGUUCGCUCACGCGGGCUGCCGGCGACCGCCUCGUCGGCGUUCGAUUUCCGGGGCGCCGGCAUCGGACGCACUUCCCCUUCGAUCCGUCGUCGCGACCCGUUCCCGUCAGGCUGGUCGGCGCGCGGUGUCCGCAGGUCGCAGGGAAACGCCUCGUUUUCGGUCGGUCGCCGCCGUUCGCGGCGUGCGGCUGGCUGUGUGCGGGAUCCGCGCGUUUCUCUCGACCGGGCCCGACGCUCCCUUUUUCAGGCACGGCUAACAGACGGGGACGGGCUAACGCACCUCGCCAUUUGCUAACGACGCAGCGAGUCGCGCACGCGGGUGGUAGUGUGCAAACGCUUUCCGCCGCCGCGUGCGCGACGCGGCCGCCUUUCUUUCCAGUUUUUUCGUUUUUAACUUUUUUCCCCGGCAACGGGGGGAGGCUGAGGCGGAAGGUUGGAAUUUGAGGAUCGCACGAAAAGCCGUCCGCUGCUGCAUGUCUGCGACGAGCAUCGGCAACCUACCCGACCCGUCUUGAAACACGGACCGAGGAGUCCCAGUCGGCUGCGAGUCGUUGGAGCGAAUCGAGCUACUAACUCCGACGGCACAGUGAAAGCGAGAACGUGACACGUCGCCGGCAUCAACGCUUCGGCGUUCGGUGUCGGCGUCUCGAAGCAUCGUUCCCGGGUCGGGCCAGCGCGCGCGUUUAGCAGGUUGCUUGUUUCGGCGCUGCGGCGUCGUCGGCCGUUCGCGGUUCGCCGUCGUCGUUGUUGUUUGAUCAWUCAUCAGGCGGCGCGUGCGCUCCGACUCAGGUGUAGCAGGCGGCCGGGGACCCGAAAGAUGGCGAUCCACGCCCGGUCGGGACGAAGCCAGAGGAAACUCUGGUGGAAGUCCGAAGCGCCUCUGACGUGCAAAUCGAUCGUCGGAACCGGGUGUAGGGGCGAAAGACCAAUCGAGCCGUCUAGUAGCUGGUUCCCUCCGAAGUUUCCCUCAGGAUAGCUGGCGCUAGCAGGAGAACGACACGCAAUUCCGUCCGGUAAAGCGAACGACUGGAGGCCCCGGGGACGUUGACGGCCUCGAUCUACUCUCGA